UUUAUGGAGAGUUUGAUCCUGGCUCAGGAUGAACGCUGGCGGCGUGCCUAAUACAUGCAAGUCGAGCGAACGGACGAGAAGCUUGCUUCUCUGAUGUUAGCGGCGGACGGGUGAGUAACACGUGGAUAACCUACCUAUAAGACUGGGAUAACUUCGGGAAACCGGAGCUAAUACCGGAUAAUAUUUUGAACCGCAUGGUUCAAAAGUGAAAGACGGUCUUGCUGUCACUUAUAGAUGGAUCCGCGCUGCAUUAGCUAGUUGGUAAGGUAACGGCUUACCAAGGCAACGAUGCAUAGCCGACCUGAGAGGGUGAUCGGCCACACUGGAACUGAGACACGGUCCAGACUCCUACGGGAGGCAGCAGUAGGGAAUCUUCCGCAAUGGGCGAAAGCCUGACGGAGCAACGCCGCGUGAGUGAUGAAGGUCUUCGGAUCGUAAAACUCUGUUAUUAGGGAAGAACAUAUGUGUAAGUAACUGUGCACAUCUUGACGGUACCUAAUCAGAAAGCCACGGCUAACUACGUGCCAGCAGCCGCGGUAAUACGUAGGUGGCAAGCGUUAUCCGGAAUUAUUGGGCGUAAAGCGCGCGUAGGCGGUUUUUUAAGUCUGAUGUGAAAGCCCACGGCUCAACCGUGGAGGGUCAUUGGAAACUGGAAAACUUGAGUGCAGAAGAGGAAAGUGGAAUUCCAUGUGUAGCGGUGAAAUGCGCAGAGAUAUGGAGGAACACCAGUGGCGAAGGCGACUUUCUGGUCUGUAACUGACGCUGAUGUGCGAAAGCGUGGGGAUCAAACAGGAUUAGAUACCCUGGUAGUCCACGCCGUAAACGAUGAGUGCUAAGUGUUAGGGGGUUUCCGCCCCUUAGUGCUGCAGCUAACGCAUUAAGC
rnacentral:rRNA from 1 species